UGUCCAGACUCCUACGGGAGGCAGCAGUGGGGAAUAUUGCGCAAUGGGGGAAACCCUGACGCAGCAACGCCGCGUGAGUGAAGAAGUAUCUCGGUAUGUAAAGCUCUAUCAGCGGGGAAGAAGGAAGACGGUACCCGACUAAGAAGCCCCGGCUAACUACGUGCCAGCAGCCGCGGUAAUACGUAGGGGGCGAGCGUUAUCCGGAUUUACUGGGUGUAAAGGGAGCGUAGACGGCGUCGCAAGUCUGAAGUGAAAGCCCGUGGCUCAACCGCGGAACCGCUUUGGAAACUGCGAGGCUGGAGUGCUGGAGAGGUAAGCGGAAUUCCUGGUGUAGCGGUGAAAUGCGUAGAUAUACGGAGGAACACCAGUGGCGAAGGCGGAUUGCUGGACAGUAACUGACGCUGAGGCGCGAAAGCGUGGGGAGCAAACAGGAUUAGAUACCCGUGUA
rnacentral:rRNA from 1 species